rnacentral:snRNA from 1 species
GAAAUAACCUGGCAAGGGAGACACCAUGAUGAGGCAAGUGGUUUUCCUCGGGUGAGGCUCAUCCCCCGCACUCUGAGUGUGAAGACCCCUGUGAUUACCCCAAAAGCGCAGAACUCAACUGCAUAAUUUGCAGUAGUAGGGGACUGUGUUCAUGCUCUCCUG